rnacentral:lncRNA from 1 species
AAAAAGGAUGGGACCAAAAUUUUUUUUCUCCUUUUACUCUUGUCUUUAGGGGAAUGAGACAAUGUAUGCUUAAUGCUAGUGGAUGCUUGCAGACAGGAAGAUAGCUUCUUAAUUAUCAGGGGAAUCCAUUCUGGAACUUGGUGAAACUCAAACUAAGGUCUUUAGAGUGAAGGCUUGCUCUGUAAUGAUAGGGUUAAAAAUACCCUUUGUACUUUAAAAAAAGGUCUGUGAAUCAUUGAUUUAAAACAGUAAAGAUGUCUAAGAAAUAAAUGCAUGACAGGAAGACCAUUUGAAGAGUUGCAUUGCCCUUGACUUUGGAAUUUUGGUUUUGGAAAGUAGCCAUCUUAUGCUGCCCAGAAGUUAUGCAGACAUAACUUCUGCCACUUUGAGAAAUCAGCCAAGGAAAAGAAAACAAAGAUGUGAUAAACUUAUAUCAGGAAAGCAAGACCUUAGAUAUGUCUUCAAGUCAGGCUUGGAAGUCUGUCCUUUUUUUUUUUUAAGAUUUAUUUAUUUAUUAUAUGUAAGUACACUGUAGCUGUCUUCAGACACCCCAGAAGAGGGCAUCAGAUCCCAUUACAGAUGGUUGUGAGCCACCAUGUGGUUGCUGGGAUUUGAGCUCAGGACCUCUGGAAGAGCAAUCAGUGCUCUUAACCACUGAGCCAUCUCUCCAGCCCAGAAGUGUGUCCUUAUGUCCUUAGAUACAUCUUCAGACAGGCUUGGCAGUGUGUUCUUGGUUACUCACUACACAGAGGAACUGACAAGUCAGGAAAGUUAGUGUGUGGUUGGUUUUUCAGACAGGGUUGCUCUGUAAACCAGGCUGGCCUCAUCACCUGCCUCUGCCUUCCAAGAGCUGGAAUUAAAGGCACGUGCUACCAUGCCCUGUUUAAAAUUAGUGUUUGUAACAUUCCAUUGUUAAGGAAGGAAAAUACUGCAUCUAUCCAUCUGUCCAUUUGAGACUUUGUCUCAAAUGGAGUUCUAGGGUCCUGGCUGUCCUGGAACUUAUGUACACCAGGCUGGCCUUAAACUCUUGGAGGCCCCCUGCCUCUGUCUCUUCAGGCUAGGAUAGAAGGUGGCAUGUAUCACCAUGCUUGGCGAUAGAAAAAGGAUGAGACCAAAAAUUUUGGGCCCAGCAUGAUAGUACAGGCCUUUAAAUCACAGUACUUGGGAAGUAGAGGCAGGUGGAUUUCUAUGAACUAAAAAAGGUUAGCCUAAUGGGGGACUUUUGGUAUAGCAUUGGAAAUGUAAAUGAGUUAAAUACCUAAUAAAAAAUGG